AUACGGAGGGUGCAAGCGUUAAUCGGAAUUACUGGGCGUAAAGGGUUCGUAGGCGGUUAUUUAAGUCAGAUGUGAAAGCCCCGGGCUCAACCUGGGAAUUGCAUCUGAUACUGGGUAACUAGAGUUUAAGAGAGGAGUGUGGAAUUUCCGGUGUAGCGGUGAAAUGCAUAGAGAUCGGACGGAACAUCAGUGGCGAAGGCGGCACUCUGGCUUAAAACUGACGCUGAGGAACGAAAGCGUGGGUAGCAAACAGGAUUAGAAACCCUAGUAGUCC
rnacentral:rRNA from 1 species